CAAAUAUUUGUAACUUAUUGCUUUAAAUAUUCAAAAUGUUGUUUAAAGAUUUUUUCCAAGUAAAAGAAAUUGAAGAAAUAACACCAGAUACCUUUUGUGUUACAUGUGAAUCAAAUCGAUUAGGAAUAUCCAUGACUUUUAAUGUCGCCUCUUGCAUGAAGCAUUAUGUGCACUUAGGAGAGACGUUUUGGUUUACAUUAGCCAAAACUAUAAAUGUAUGCGGUUCAUAUGAAUGUGAUUAUGAUUCUGUUAAAUGUGGUACCAUUCAUGUUGUUCACACACCUGAGAAUUCUACAACAAUUUUAAGUGCUGAAUUUGGAAGACUUUUUCUUAGCUUAAAAGGAGAUUCGAAUAUAUUCAGUGGCGUGACUGCUGGUGAAGACCUAUAUAUGUUGCUUAAGGAACGGGAAUAGUUUUUUGUAGAGGCAAAUGUUCUGUUUAAGUAAUGAAUUAAGGAAAAAGUAAGGACCCACGAUCAACGUAUUUGUUGAAAGGAUUUUUUGGUGAUAAACAAAA